rnacentral:piRNA from 1 species
UGACCACUUCCUGAUGAUCCUUCGAU